rnacentral:rRNA from 1 species
ACCCUAAAGCUAGCCUAAACACCCAAAAAACACAACACUAUUAAAAAUACACUACCCAACUAAACCCAAACUCAAAACAUUUUAAUCUUCCUAGUAUAGGUGAUAGAACAGAAAUUUAGAGCCAUAGAGAUAGUACCGCAAGGGAAAGCUGAAAAAGAAAUGAAACAAAUCAUUCAAGUAACAAAAAGCAGAGAUAAAACCUCGUACCUUUCGCAUCAUGAUUUAGCCAGAACAACUGGGCAAAAAGACUUUAAGUCCAUCUUCCCGAAACUAAGCGAGCUACUUCGGAGCAGCACAUUAGAGCGAACCCAUCUCUGUGGCAAAAGAGUGGGAAGACUCCCAAGUAGAGGUGAAAAGCCUACCGAGCUUAGUGAUAGCUGGUUGCCCAAAAAAAGAACUUAAGUUCUGCAUUAAUUAAUUCAACAUAUUAAAUAUAACUAUUCCCCAAAACAUAUUGUAAAAAUUAAUAGUUAUUCAAAAGAGGUACAGCUCUUUUGAACUAAGAAACAACUUUCCAAGGUGGGAAACGAUCAUAAUAAAUUAAGGAAAUAACACCUCAGUGGGCCUAAAAGCAGCCACCUGUAAAGCAAGCGUCAUAGCUCCAGCCACCACCAAACCAAUAAUCCCGAUAAAACAUCAAAACCCCCUUUACCAAUAUUGGGCAAUUUUAUCAUUAGAUAAAAGAACUUAUGCUAAAAUGAGUAAUAAGAGGCCAAACCUCUCCUUGACAUCAGUGUAAGUCAGAAAGAAUUAAAUCACUGACAAUUAACCGACCCCAGUCCCGAGGCCAUUAUGAAGUAAAAAUAACACAAGAAAAAUCCAUCAUAACCAUCGUUAACCCUACACAGGAAUGUUCAUGGGAAAGAUUAAAAGAAAAUAAAGGAACUCGGCAAACACAAACUCCGCCUGUUUACCAAAAACAUCGCCUCUUGCUCAACAAAUAUAAGAGGUCCCGCCUGCCCUGUGAUUUUUUUAACGGCCGCGGUAUCUUGACCGUGCGAAGGUAGCGUAAUCACUUGUCUUUUAAUUGAAGACCUGUAUGAAAGGCAUCACGAGAGUUUAUCUGUCUCUAUUUUCCAAUCAAUGAAAUUGACUUUCCCGUGCAGAGGCGGGAAUAACAACAUAGGACGAGAAGACCCUAUGGAGCUUUAAACACCUAAGUUAAUUAUUUCUACAAAUCCCUCCCCAUGGGCAUAAAACAACACAAAUAAACAUAACUUAACCUGUUUUCGGUUGGGGCGACCAAGGAGAAAAACAAAACCUCCUUAUCGACUGAGUACUAUAUGUACUUUAAAAUUAGAGUGAACAACUCUGAUUAAUAGAACAUCUAUCGAACAAUGACCCAGGAUAACAAAAUAUCCUGAUCAAUGAACCAAGUUACCCUAGGGAUAACAGCGCAAUCCUUUCUUAGAGUCCCUAUCGCCGAAAGGGUUUACGACCUCGAUGUUGGAUCAGGACAUCCUAAUGGUGCAGCCGCUAUUAAGGGUUCGUUUGUUCAACGAUUAAUAGUCCUACGUGAUCUGAGUUCAGACCGGAGUAAUCCAGGUCAGUUUCUAUCCAUGAAGAUAUUUUU